GCCUGAGAUGGAUGAGCAGAGGGCAUGGGACUCUUGGGCUGAGCUCUCAGGUUGAAAAGCAGACAGCAAGCAGCUGGAGGGCAAGUCUGAGAAAUGUAACAGAGAGCAGCUCUGGGAAUUCACGUUUCUUGGCAGAAGUUCUGUGGACCCACCCCUAUUGCUGAACAGGUAACUUGGACCACAUUCAGGCUGAGAGUGGCUGAUG